GUCUGCUCCAGCUCCCUCCGACCUGGAGUUUCUGCUUCCAGGCGAAGCUAAGCCCAGAGCAAAGCUGCAGGGGUGUGCUUCCAGGGCCCAGGAUAAUAAGCGUGCAUGAAGGGAGGCACAGAAGCUUCGCCAGUGACGUCACCGGGACAGAUCCCGCCAGGGCCAGAGGAACCUAGUUUGGAGGGUUAAGGCUGCCUCCUUCGAGAGAGCACAGAACCCAGGUGAGGUUUCAGCCUCGUGUGUGGGUAACGGUACCUUCAAGAGAAAAUGUGGUAUAUAUACACAAUGGCAUGUGACUCAGCCUUAAAGAAGAAUGAAAUUAUGGCAUUUGCAGCAUUCUCAGAAGGGCGGUCACAAUCCUAAAGGAAGUAAAGCCUGCCUUUACCCGCUCUACAUGUAGCUACCACCUGGCUGCUACGGCAGGCGGCGUCUGUGCAGAAACAGACGUUAUCACUGCCCUAAGACACCACCUGUGGGAUUCACCUGGAGGGCCACCUUCUCCAGGAUACUUUCCAUGCACCUGCAUCAGGAUGCAAAGCUUCCUCUCAGGGCCCCAAAACAUUGGGCCCUUGGCGCUCAUGACUCCAUCAGCUCUAAUGGAACCGCUGGGCCACCCGAGCAGGUUCUCUUCGCUUCUGCACAAGCGGAACGUGAUCAAUGAGGACUCCACCCACAGCACCCUUAGAGAAAGCAUCGCAGUGGUGACGGCGAUGCUGUUGGUGAAGACAGAAAUGAGAAAGAAAACACUGUCCCUUUGGAAGAAGGAUUUCUUACUCGUCUCCUCUAGUCCCAGAUGCUUGGACGUGCCUCAGCGCAGGCACGGAGCCAAGAUGGCAGCAUGAAGUCAGUUUCUUGCAGGGCCCUGUCCUCUCUGAUUGGUACUAUCCUGCCUAAUGUACUUAAGCUGUAUUGAAAUGAAAAAUGAAUAGGAAGUAGAUCUUGCUGCUAAGACAUAUGUGUCAGAAAAUCAUUAUGAGUAUUAAAUUACAGCAAUAAAAUGAACCAGAACUAAUCUUGCAAAUUAAGAUCCAAUAAAUCUUUUUUUCACGGACA